rnacentral:lncRNA from 1 species
GUGGGCAUGCAGGGCGCAGACUGACCACUCUGUUCCCACACCUGGCUCAAGCUCGUCUCCCCCGAGAGCCACAGGGAGUGCUGGACCCGCCUGAGCGGGGGGCAUAUGGGGCUCAGCACAGCACUGUGGGGCCUGGAUGAGAAGCCGCUGGUCUCUUCUGCCCCUCCCUGACAUUGAGGACUGGAACCUUGGGGAGCCUUGGGUGAGGUCGCCUCCCAGGAAGUCCUGAGCUGAGACAUCGCGGGCCCAUUUUGAGGUGGCUGUGAGGGGUACAGGUGAGUGUACUUGGGGUUCCUUCAAGGCCAGGCCCAGCAGGUCACCUGCAGAAGGCCUUGGGCAGGUGCCCCCCACCCCGUCCUGGAACACCAUUCUUCCCCAUCGCCCCAGAGGACCAGGCCCAGGCAAGGCUGGGAAUGCUUAGCCGACCUGCUCAGCAUGAAGCUCCUGCCCCAACCCCCUCCUUCCAGGUGCCCGGCCUGGGCUCUGCCAGAGGCUGAGGUGCCCAGGGUGUCAGGACGGCCACCCUGAAGGCCCUACCCCUUUAUAGGAAAUAAAGUCUUCUUUCCAAAUUUAUAGAUGUGGGAUUUGUUCAGUGGACAUAGCUCACCCGGGGCAUUUUAGGAAUUUACCCAAAAGACAUAAAAGUCUGC